rnacentral:rRNA from 1 species
AGCGAACGCUGGCGGCAGGCCUAACACAUGCAAGUCGAACGAACUCUUCGGAGUUAGUGGCGGACGGGUGAGUAACACGUGGGAACGUGCCUUUUGGUUCGGAAUAACUCAGGGAAACUUGUGCUAAUACCGAAUGUGCCCUUCGGGGGAAAGAUUUAUCGCCAUUAGAGCGGCCCGCGUCUGAUUAGCUAGUUGGUGAGGUAACGGCUCACCAAGGCGACGAUCAGUAGCUGGUCUGAGAGGAGGACCAGCCACACUGGGACUGAGACACGGCCCAGACUCCUACGGGAGGCAGCAGUGGGGAAUCUUGCGCAAUGGGCGAAAGCCUGACGCAGCCAUGCCGCGUGAAUGAUGAAGGUCUUAGGAUUGUAAAAUUCUUUCACCGGGGACGAUAAUGACGGUACCCGGAGAAGAAGCCCCGGCUAACUUCGUG